UUCUCCACUCCCACUGCUUCACUUGACCAG
rnacentral:piRNA from 2 species